rnacentral:rRNA from 1 species
UACGUAGGGAGCAAGCGUUGUCCGGAAUCAUUGGGCGUAAAGCGCGCGUAGGUGGCCCCAUAAGUCCGCUGUGAAAGUCAAAGGCUCAACCUUUGAAAGCCGGUGGAUACUGUGGGACUAGAGUACGGAAGAGGCGAGUGGAAUUCCUGGUGUAGCGGUGGAAUGCGCAGAUAUCAGGAGGAACACCAAUAGCGAAGGCAGCUCGCUGGGACGUUACUGACACUGAGGCGCGAAAGCGCGGGGAGCGAACAGG